UACGUAGGUGGCGAGCGUUGUCCGGAUUUAUUGGGCGUAAAGGGAGUGUAGGCGGUCUUUUAAGUCUGAUGUGAAAGCCCACGGCUCAACCGUGGAGGGUCAUUGGAAACUGGGAGACUUGAGUGCAGAAGAGGAGAGCGGAAUUCCAUGUGUAGCGGUGAAAUGCGUAGAUAUAUGGAGGAACACCAGUGGCGAAGGCGGCUCUCUGGUCUGUAACUGACGCUGAGGCUCGAAAGCGUGGGGAGCAAAC
rnacentral:rRNA from 2 species